rnacentral:rRNA from 1 species
AUGAACGCUGGCGGCGUGCCUAAUACAUGCAAGUCGAGCGAACGGACGAGAAGCUUGCUUCUCUGAUGUUAGCGGCGGACGGGUGAGUAACACGUGGAUAACCUACCUAUAAGACUGGGAUAACUUCGGGAAACCGGAGCUAAUACCGGAUAAUAUUUUGAACCGCAUGGUUCAAAAGUGAAAGACGGUCUUGCUGUCACUUAUAGAUGGAUCCGCGCUGCAUUAGCUAGUUGGUAAGGUAACGGCUUACCAAGGCAACGAUGCAUAGCCGACCUGAGAGGGUGAUCGGCCACACUGGAACUGAGACACGGUCCAGACUCCUACGGGAGGCAGCAGUAGGGAAUCUUCCGCAAUGGGCGAAAGCCUGACGGAGCAACGCCGCGUGAGUGAUGAAGGUCUUCGGAUCGUAAAACUCUGUCAUUAGGGAAGAACGUAUGUGUAAGUAACUGUGCACAUCUUGACGGUACCUAAUCAGAAAGCCACGGCUAACUACGUG